AUUGAACGCUGGCGGCAGGCCUAACACAUGCAAGUCGAGCGAGCGGCGGACGGGUGAGUAAUGUAUGGGGACUGCCCGAUAGAGGGGGAUAACUACUGGAAACGGUGGCUAAUACCGCAUACUAUCGGAUAACCCAUAUGGGAUGGGCGAGUAGGUGGGGUAAAGGCUCACCUAGGCGACGAUCUCUAGCUGGUCUGAGAGGAUGAUCAGCAACCCUGGGACUGAGACACGCCCCAGACUCCGACGGAGGCAGCAGUGGGGAAUAUUGCACAAUGGGCGCAAGCCGGAUGCACACAUGCCGCGGGUGUGAAGAAGGCCUUCGGGUUGUAAAGCACGUUCAGCGAGGAGGCGUUACUCGCAGAAGAAGCACCGGCUAACUCCGUGCCAGCCGCCGCGGUAAUAC
rnacentral:rRNA from 1 species